rnacentral:rRNA from 1 species
AUGGACGCCAUGGUCGCGCAGCAGAGGCCCGCGGCGCCGACCUGGCCGCAGCAGCCGCAGUUCGUGCAGUAUCCGCCGUUGCAGCCGCCACCACCGACUCACCAAGACUGGAGGCUGGUGCACAUCCUAUCGGAGUUGCUCCGGUCCCCGAGGACGCUUGAUCAGAUGGUGCUGUCCCUGGACGCGGAGCACUCGGCAAUCCUGCUCCACCAGCUCGAGGUGGGCGACGAGCAGAUGCGCGAUAUGGUGCUCGACGGAUUCAAGCAGUGCGCGCACUGGAUCAUGGGGAACAGGCCAGGGCAUGCGGUGUUCCAAGCGCUCCUGCGCAGCAUCCAGGUCAUCGUAGACGACGACAGGCGGUACGAGGAGCUCCAGAUCAUCGUGGAAGCCGCCGCCACGCCAGAGCUUGCCUGGAGGUCCGACGACGGGGUGGCUUCUCUGAUGUUGCUCAUCACGGCGGUGGCGUGGAGCCCCGGCCUGUCCACCGCGCUCGUCAACUACUUCGUGCGUGAUCGCGUGAUGGACAACGUCGGAGGGGACGAACUGAUUACCCGCUGUUUCACCACGAUGGGUGACGAGGUGACCAGGGUAAGUGCUGUGCUGGGAACGUGGGAUCAGCCAGCGACAGUGACACUGAAUCGUAUGCAUGGAUGCAUGCAUCAUAUGCAUGCUCUGGUGAGGCACGCCAUGGACACCAUCGAUGACAAGCUCGACUCAUCGUUCGGGGUGCCGUGCUUGGGUACAUGCUUCUGGUACGCGGCCGGCGACGAGCUCCCGCUUUUCCAGGAUGCCCUCGUUGAGCGAGCCGUAACAAUGGCCAUGGGACGAAACAGCAACCGCCUGGUGCAGCGCCUCAUCGACCGCGGCGAGAACAGGAUUGACUUCAGGCGGCGGCUCCUGUCCAGGCUCAUGCAGCACCUCGUUAGACUGUCCAACAACUGGUACGGGAGGUUCGUCCUGCAGCGCUGCUUCAAGAACGCGGUGGUCGCGCUGCAGCCCAUCGUGCUCACGGCUUGUGCUGACCUGCCCCAAGGAGACGUCCAAGCGCUGGUGAUGCACGAGGAGCUCCGGCCUCUCCACAGGGUGCUCCAGGGAGGCAACACUAACUACCCGGCAGAGGCGAGGAGGUUGGCGCUCAAGAUUCAAGCACUGCCUCUACAUAUCCGGGAACAAGAAGAGUUGCAGCCGUUGAUGAGGGCCGUCACGAGGGUCCUCGCCGAUAACCUGGCCAACUUGGGCGACUAG